rnacentral:rRNA from 1 species
AACCUGGUUGAUCCUGCCAGUUACAUAUGCUUGUCUUAAAUAUUAACCCAUGCAUGUGCCAGUUCAGUAUUGAACAGCGAAACUGCGAAUGGCUCAUUAAAACAGUUAUAGUUUAUUUGAUAAUUAAAGAUUACAUGGAUAACCGAGCUAAUUGUUGGGCUAAUACAUGCUUAAAAUUCCGUGUCCUGCGACCGGAACGUAUUUAUUAGAUAUUAGACCAAUCGCAGCAAUGUGAUUGAGAUGAAUCAAAGUAACUGAUCGAAUCGAGGCUUGCUUCGAUAAAUCAUCUAAGUUUCUGCCCUAUCAGCUCUCGAUGGUAGUGUAUUGGACUACCAUGGCAGUCACGGGUAACGGAGAAUUAGGGUUCGAUUCCGGAGAAGGAGCCUGAGAAACGGCUACUACAACUACGGUUCGGCAGCAGGGAAGAAAAUUGGCCAAUCCUAAUCCAGGGAGCCAGUGACAAGAAAUAGCAAGCUGGGAAACCUAGUUUCUACGGCAUUGAAAUGAGAAAAGUGUUAAUCUCUUAGCGAGGAACAAUUGGAGGGCAAGUCAUGGUGCCAGCAGCCGCGGUAAUUCCAGCUCCAAUAGCGUAUAUUAAAGUUGUUGCAGUUAAAAAGCUCGUAGUUGAACUUCUGCUCAGGUUUAUAACGACUCGUCGUGUAAAACUGGACAUACGUUUGCAAACUAAAAUCGGCCUUCACUGGUUCGACUUAGGGAGUAAACAUUUUACUGUGAAAAAAUUAGAGUGUUCCAGGCAGGUUUUAGCCCGAAUACAUUAGCAUGGAAUAAUGGAAUAGGACUAAGUCCAUUUUAUUGGUUCUUGGAUUUGGUAAUGAUUAAUAGGGACAGUUGGGGGCAUUAGUAUUUAAUAGUCAGAGGUGAAAUUCUUGGAUUUAUUAAGGACUAACUAAUGCGAAAGCAUUUGCCAAAGAUGUUUUCAUUAAUCAAGAACGAAAGUUAGGGGAUCAAAGACGAUCAGAUACCGUCGUAGUCUUAACUAUAAACUAUACCGACUCGGGAUCGGCUGGAAUAAAUGUCCAGUCGGCACCGUAUGAGAAAUCAAAGUCUUUGGGUUCUGGGGGAAGUAUGGUACGCAAGUCUGAAACUUAAAGGAAUUGACGGAACAGCACACCAGAAGUGGAACCUGCGGCCUAAUUUGACUCAACACGGGGAAACUCACGAGCGCAAGACAGAGAAGGGAUUGACAGAUUGAGAGCUCUUUCUUGAUUCUUUGGGUGGUGGUGCAUGGCCGUUCUUAGUUGGUGGAGUGAUUUGUCUGGUUAAUUCCUUUAACGAACGAGACCUUAACCUGCUAACUAGUCUGCUUGUGAACAACAGGUUGUACUUCUUAGAGGGACUAUUGUGCAAGAAGCCAAUGGAAGUUUAAGGCAAUAACAGGUCUGUGAUGCCCCUAGACGUGCUCGGCCGCACGCGCGUUACAAUGACUGGCGCAGAAAGUAUUUCCUGUCCUGGGAAGGUACGGGUAAUCUUAUUAAUACCAGUCGUGUUAGGGAUAGUUCUUUGGAAUUGUGGAUCUUGAACGAGGAAUUUCUAGUAAGUGCAAGUCAUCAGCUUGCGUUGAUUAUGUCCCUGCCGUUUGUACACACCGCCCGUCGCUUGUAGUAACGAAUGGUCUGGUGAACCUUCUGGACUGCGAUAGCAAUAUUGCGGAAAAAUAAGUAAACCCUACCAUUUGGAACAACAAGAAGUCGUAACAAGGUAUCUGUAGGUGAACCUGCAGAUGGAUCAUUAACACAAUUAACAAACCUUAACUUAUGUACUUUCAAAGAGAACUUCGGUUUUCUUUGAGGUUUUAUUGUCACACCUAGUGUGAAUAAAAAUUUUUCAUAUGUCUAAGAUCUGGAUAACACCCAAAAAACGAAAAGAAAAUUUUCAACGGUGGAUAUCUAGGUUCCCGUGACGAUGAAGAACGCAGCGAAAUGCGAUACGCAAUGCGAAUUGCAGAACCGCGAGUCAUCAGAUCUUUGAACGCAAGUGGUGGAGGUGUAAAAACCUUCAUGUUUGUUUCAGUGUGGAAAGGAAUCACGCAUCUUAAUGCGAUUGAAGCAGCGCAAGAAGCUUCUCUCGUUAAACGUGAUGGGUGGUCGAGCAAUCGCCGCCAGAACGAAGUAGUCACAUUCGUGUAAUGUGAACAUUCGUUCAGGCAUAAAGGCGAAUGCUCACUAUGCUACUCAUAGAAAUUUAUUUUUCUCACAACACCUGAAACAAGCAAGAUUACCCGCUGAACUUAAGCAUAUCAGUAAGCGGAGGAAAAGAAACUAAC